GGGCGCGUAGCUCAGACGGCAAGAGCGCUUCCCUUACAAGGAAGAGGUCGGGGGUUCAAGUCCCUCCGCGCCCA
rnacentral:tRNA from 1 species